rnacentral:rRNA from 1 species
GAUGAACGCUGGCGGCGUGCCUAAUACAUGCAAGUCGAGCGAACAGACGAGGAGCUUGCUCCUCUGACGUUAGCGGCGGACGGGUGAGUAACACGUGGAUAACCUACCUAUAAGACUGGGAUAACUUCGGGAAACCGGAGCUAAUACCGGAUAAUAUAUUGAACCGCAUGGUUCAAUAGUGAAAGACGGUUUUGCUGUCACUUAUAGAUGGAUCCGCGCCGCAUUAGCUAGUUGGUAAGGUAACGGCUUACCAAGGCAACGAUGCGUAGCCGACCUGUGAGGGUGAUCGGCCACACUGGAACUGAGACACGGUCCAGACUCCUACGGGAGGCAGCAGUAGGGAAUCUUCCGCAAUGGGCGAAAGCCUGACGGAGCAACGCCGCGUGAGUGAUGAAGGUCUUCGGAUCGUAAAACUCUGUUAUUAGGGAAGAACAAAUGUGUAAGUAACUAUGCACGUCUUGACGGUACCUAAUCAGAAAGCCACGGCUAACUACGUG